rnacentral:rRNA from 1 species
AUACGGAGGGUGCGAGCGUUAACCGGAAUUACUGGGCGUAAAGCGUACGUAGGCGGUUGGUUAAGUUAGAUGUGAAAGCCCCGGGCUUAACCUGGGAACUGCAUUUAAAACUGGCGAACUAGAGUUGAGUAGAGGGGAGUGGAAUUUCAGGUGUAGCGGUGAAAUGCGUAGAGAUCUGAAAGAACACCAGUGGCGAAGGCGACUCCCUGGACUCGAACUGACGCUGAGGUACGAAAGCGUGGGUAGCAAACGGGAUUAGAAACCCCAGUAGUCC